rnacentral:tRNA from 1 species
GGGGUUAUGGCGCAGUUGGUAGCGCGUUUGAAUGGCAUUCAAAAGGUCAUCGGUUCGAACCCGAUUAGCUCCACCA